UACGGAGGGUGCAAACGUUGCUCGGAAUCAUUGGGCGUAAAGAGCUCGUAGGCGGCUUGUCGCGUCGGAUGUGAAAGCCCGGGGCUUAACUCCGGGUCUGCAUUCGAUACGGGCAGGCUAGAGUUCGGUAGGGGAGAUCGGAAUUCCUGGUGUAGCGGUGAAAUGCGCAGAUAUCAGGAGGAACACCGGUGGCGAAGGCGGUUCUCUGGGCCUGUACUGACGCUGAGGAGCGAAAGCGUGGGGAGCGAACAGG
rnacentral:rRNA from 1 species